CUCUAUGGCCAUACCACCUGAAGUCCUUGAUCUUGUCUGAUCUCUGAAGCUAAAUUGGCUUGGGCUUAGUUAUUCUUUGGAUGGGAAACUACCUGGGAAUUCCAUGGGGAAUAGGCU
rnacentral:rRNA from 1 species